rnacentral:rRNA from 1 species
AUUGAACGCUGGCGGCAGGCCUAACACAUGCAAGUAGAGCGAGUGGCGGACGUGUGAGUAAUGUAUGGGGAACUGCCCGAUAGAGGGGGAUAACUACUGGAAACGGUGGCUAAUACCGCAUACUAUCGGCUGAACCCAUAUGGGAUUUGCUAGUAGGUGGGGUAACGGCUCACCUAGGAGACGAUCCCUAGCUGGUAUGAGAGGAUGAACAGCCACAAUGGAACUGAGACACGGUCCAGACUCCUACGGUAGGCAGCAGUGGGGAAUAUUGCACAAUGGGCGCAAGCCUGAUGCAGCCAUGCCGCGUGUAUGAAGAAGGCCUUAGGGUUGUAAAGUACUUUCAGCGGGGAGGCGUUACCCGCAGAAGAAGCACCGGCUAACUCCGUGCCAGCAGCCGCGGUAAUAC